AGCUAGUAAGGGAAACCCAAGAAUGGCAUCCAACAUAUUACAUAGGGUUCAGCACGGGUUGGUUGAAACUCAAGUGGAUCAGUCUCACCCUCCAACUCGACCAUCACAGGAGCAUUCAUGCUGAUUUGGAGGGCACGUGUACCCAAAAUUCUAGCCCGUUCAUAUUUAGUCAUAAAUUUUGACGUUUUACGCACUCGUUCAACAGGUUCUUCAUCUUCCUUUUCCUCAGCUUCAACGGGUUCACCAGCAACAUCAUCAUUGUUAGUAGUAUCUAAUUCUUCCUCAGCACCUUCCUCAAUCUCGGGUUCUGGUGGCUCAUCUUCAUAUCCCAUGUCGAGGUCAUUGUAAUCGUCGUCCGCCAUUGAUGAUGGAUAGAGAAACUGUUGGCGCGCUUUGUGGUUACUAUCGAAAAUUCUCAGUUGCAAAGGAUCUCAGCCGGGACGUGGAUUCAAAACCCUU
rnacentral:misc_RNA from 1 species